rnacentral:rRNA from 1 species
CAGCCGCCGCGGUAAUACCGGCGGCCCGAGUGGUGGCCGCUAUUAUUGGGCCUAAAGCGUCCGUAGCCGGGUUGGUUAGUCUCCCGGGAAAUCUGGCCGCUUAACGGUCAGAAUUCCGGGAGAUACUGCCAGCCUAGGGACCGGGAGAGGCCGAGGGUAUUCCCGGAGUAGGGGUGAAAUCCUAUAAUCCCGGGAGGACCACCUGUGGCGAAGGCGCUCGGCUGGAACGGGUCCGACGGUGAGGGACGAAGGCCAGGGGAGCAAACCGGAUUAGAUACCCGGGUAGUCCUGGCUGUAAACGAUGCGGACUUUGUGUCGGACAAGCUAUGAGCUUGUCCGGUGCCGGAGGGAAACCGUUAAGUCCGCCGCCUGGGGAGUACGGCCGCAAGGCUGAAACUUAAAGGAAUUGGCGGG